GAGAUUGUAACUCCGCAAACUGCGCCCUAUAUAUGAGAUGUCUCUUCGGGGACUAUGGACAUAAACGCGCUCGUAAUAAGCGGAUCGGACCCGGGGGCGGUACCCGGCGACUCCACCAAUCAUCCCUCAUUUGGGGACCAUGGGGUCGAAAUAGGAUCGACGGACGUCUAAAGGGGUAUGCUUUGUCUCGGUGAGUUACCACCGUUAUCGGUACAUACAAGCUAGUUGCAAAUGACAACAAAGCUCCAAUGGCGAUGGCUGCGUAAGCAGUCGGAACUAUUGAAAACUUAAGUCCUCUCGCUUAGCAGCGUUUGGCGGGGUUUGCAGGUACCUGGCAACAGAAACCUGCGCU
rnacentral:tmRNA from 1 species